rnacentral:rRNA from 1 species
ACGGGGUGCAGCAGGCGCGAAAACUUCACACUGCGCGAAAGCGCGAUGAGGGAAUCCCAAGUGCUUGCACGUUAGUGUAAGCUGUUUCUAUGUUUAAAUUGCACAGAGAGUAAGAGCUGGGUAAGACGGGUGCCAGCCGCCGCGGUAAUACCUGCAGCUCGAGUGGUGACCACUAUUAUUGGGCCUAAAACGUCCGUAGCCGGUUUAAUAAAUGCCUGGGUAAAUCGUGUAGCUUAACUAUACGAAUUCCGGGUAGACUGCUAAACUUGAGACCGGGAGAAGCUAGAGGUACUCCUGGGGUAGAGGUGAAAUUCUGUAAUCCUGGGGGGACCACCAGUGGCGAAGGCGUCUAGCUAGAACGGGUCUGACGGUGAGGGACGAAGCCCUGGGGCGCGAACCGGAUUAGAUACCCGGGUAGUCCAGGGUGUAAACGCUGCUUGCUUGAUGUUAGUCGGGCUCCGAGCCCGAUUAGUGUCGGAGAG